rnacentral:lncRNA from 1 species
UUAACAUCUCUGAAAGGUACGGAUACAAGUUAUCUACAGGGUAACACCUGUAGAUAUGAUGCAACAGGCUUAUGCCAUUGGAGAGUGAAUAGUCAACCUUCUGAAAACAGUGUACACCACCGGAAGGGCAAGAAAAAAAACUACAAUAUAGAACAUCUUUCUGACCUUGAGGUCAGGAAGUCCUCCUCGACAAGACACAAAAAAGAAAAAUCACAAAGGAAAAGAAUGACAACUUGACUCCAUCAAAAUUAAAAACAGAUAUUGCAUUUUUUUCCAGAUUGAAGGUUUGUGGCAACCCUGCAUCAAGCAAGUCUAUAAGCAUCAUUUUUC